GAUGAACGCUGGCGGCGUGCCUAAUACAUGCAAGUCGAGCGAACAGACGAGGAGCUUGCUCCUCUGACGUUAGCGGCGGACGGGUGAGUAACACGUGGAUAACCUACCUAUAAGACUGGGAUAACUUCGGGAAACCGGAGCUAAUACCGGAUAAUAUAUUGAACCGCAUGGUUCAAUAGUGGAAGACGGUUUUGCUGUCACUUAUAGAUGGAUCCGCGCCGCAUUAGCUAGUUGGUAAGGUAACGGCUUACCAAGGCAACGAUGCGUAGCCGACCUGAGAGGGUGAUCGGCCACACUGGAACUGAGACACGGUCCAGACUCCUACGGGAGGCAGCAGUAGGGAAUCUUCCGCAAUGGGCGAAAGCUUGACGGAGCAACGCCGCGUGAGUGAUGAAGGUCUUCGGAUCGUAAAACUCUGUUAUUAGGGAAGAACAAAUGUGUAAGUAACUAUGCACGUCUUGACGGUACCGAAUCAGAAAGCCACGGCUAACUACGU
rnacentral:rRNA from 1 species